rnacentral:rRNA from 1 species
AUGGAGGUCCUCGUCUCCACAACCGCGGCCUCCGCUCCCUUAUCCUCGGCCCGCGUCCACCGCCGGCCGCUCCCUGCCUCCGUGACCUUCCGCGCCCCGGCCCGACGAGGCUGGCGCUGCCGCUCCGCCGCGCCGACCAGGCCUGACCCGGUGCCGUCCGAGGAGCCCGCGUCGGCGUCGGGGUCCGCCACCACUACCGUCGUCACGGACAAGCCCGACGCGCCGGACGGGGAGGUCUCCGGUGGAUUUGUGGAGGUGACGAUGGAAGAUGCGCCGGUGUCGUCGCCCGAGGCGGAUGGCGGCGUGGACGACCUACUCGGCAAGUUGGACAUCCAAGUGACACCCACUACUGUCAUCCUCGGAGGCGGUGCUUUGAUUGCUCUGUUGAUCCUAUCUAAAAUCAUUUCUGCAAUUGAUUCUGUUCCCCUGCUUCCAAAUGUGCUGGAAAUCGUAGGAACUGGCUACUCAGUCUGGUUCAUCACACGGUACCUCCUCUUUAAGGAAAGCAGAGACGAACUGUUUGCGAAAUUUGAAGAUCUGAAAAACAAUAUCAUUUGA